rnacentral:RNase_P_RNA from 1 species
GCAGUCGGCCGGUCUGUCGCUCGCAUCUUCGCGAUGCGGGAGGAAAGUCCGGGCAACACAGAGCAUCCCACUUCCUAACAGAAAGCUAUCCGCGAGGGUGGAGUAACGCAGAAGAAAAUAACCGCCUCUUGCAAAAGAGGUAAGGGUGAGAAGGUGGGGUAAGAGCCUACCGGUCUUGUGGCGACACAAGAGCCGUGCGUCUUGGGAGUUGUAAGGUCAUGUAAACCGGCGCUUGAGAGCUGCUCGCCCGAUGCCGGAGGGUAGACCGCUAAAGCCGUAUGGUGACAUGCGGCGCAGAUAAAUGACAGACACCUCUUGAAUUGUCAAGUGGCACACGCCGCUUUGAGGCACAGAACCCGGCUUACAGGCCGACUGCACUU